rnacentral:rRNA from 1 species
CCUACGGGAGGCAGCAGUGGGGGAAUCUUGCGCAAUGGGCGAAAGCCUGACGCAGCCAUGCCGCGUGAAUGAUGAAGGUCUUAGGAUUGUAAAAUUCUUUCACCGGGGGACGAUAAUGACGGUACCCCGGAGAAGAAGCCCCGGCUAACUUCGUGCCAGCAGCCGCGGUAAUACGAAGGGGGGCUAGCGUUGCUCGGAAUUACUGGGCGUAAAGGGAGCGUAGGCGGAUAGUUUAGUCAGAGGUGAAAGCCCAGGGCUCAACCUUGGAAUUGCCUUUGAUACUGGCUAUCUUGAGUAUGGGAGAGGUUAGCGGAACUCCGAGUGUAGAGGUGAAAUUCGUAGAUAUUCGGAAGAACACCAGUGGCGAAGGCGGCUAACUGGCCCAUUACUGACGCUGAGGCUCGAAAGCGUGGGGAGCAAACAGGAUUAGAUACCCUGGUAGUCCACGCCGUAAACGAUGAGUGCUAGUUGUCGGCAUGCAUGCAUGUCGGUGACGCAGCUAACGCAUUAAGCACUCCGCCUGGGGGAGUACGGGUCGCAAGAUUAAAAACUCAAAAGGAAUUGACGG